CUAAAUUUAUUGUAUAAGUUCUCUAGCUAUUAACAUUCCUCGUGAAGGCCGAAAUAUGGAAUGGAAUAUUAUAUAGAUAAAUAAAUAAAUAAAUAAAUAAAUAAAUAAAUAAAUAAAUAAAUAAAUAGUAUUGUUUAUCUGCUCUUUUCACAUGCAGGCGCAGAUGAUACCGUCUCCUUCGAAGGUUCAGGAAAUAGGCCCCCACCUAGCUCUCCCCAGGCCUGCAAUGUUGCAGAAUCAUCCUCCGCCGGCAAGGCAGGGCCCUCCCACGCAGCCGGUGGAGACGUGGUUUUCGGUGGUGGAAGGAUGGACGAGGCACAGAAAAACAGAGGAGACGCUGACGACGUGGACGAAUUAGCCGGCCGGCGCCCUCGUACUCUCGGCUUGCGCGCCUUGGCACAGGUACGCGAGAUGAGCACUGUCUGGCAGCGUCGGAGCCGCCAGGGGACCAAGGCGCAGCGCCGCAGUGGAAGCGCCAGCAUCGCCAUGCAGCCAACGGUCGAGGACGAUGGUCAGUUGGCCUGAUCGUCAUCACAUGCGUACCAUUACUGUGCCACAGCACGAUGCGAGAAGGAUUGAGAAGAACGGUGGCACGUUUUGAUCUGUGUGUCCGUGGGCGCAGAUUUUAUUACUUAUG